GCUGGCGUAGCUCAAUGGCAGAGCAGCUGAUUUGUAAUCAGCAGGUUGCGGGUUCAAAUCCCACCGCCAGCUCCA
rnacentral:tRNA from 1 species